GACCACGCACACACUCCUUGGCCUGUGGCCGAGGGAGGGUGUCACAGGCCCACAUCCUGUCUCCCCCCGCUCGGGACGUGUUUUAUUUAUCUUGCUUUAUACACACGUUAAGUGGGACAUGGUCAAAACAUUUCUCGUUUCCUCCACGUAGGCAGAGCUGACCCUGCAGACGCUGGAAGUUUUCAUUCGGGUCAGCAAGUUGUGGACGUGAAGUAGGACUUUAAAGUAGGGGACUCCUGGGGAUUAAUCCUGAGCAGAAUUCUCGAAGACGACUCAAGUUUAAUCAAGUAGGAAGAAACUGGGAAGGAGUGAUAUUGGGAGCAUUGAUCAAGAGAAGGCAUACACAACAGAUCUGUAUUCACUGGCUGGUCGCUAUCUGCAUGCAUCCUGGUACCACUGAGCCCUGGACAGAGGACUGUUAGCAUCUCACUGGGAGCCACUGCUGUGCAAAGCAGCACUCAUCACCUACCGUCGUGUCAUUUUGUUGGGGACACUGCCCACCAUCUGACCUCUGUCAGUUCCCUGGAAUCAUGAGUAAAUGUGUGACUCCAACACAG
rnacentral:lncRNA from 12 species